GACGAACGCUGGCGGCGUGCUUAACACAUGCAAGUCGAACGGAAAGGCCCUGCUUUUGUGGGGUGCUCGAGUGGCGAACGGGUGAGUAACACGUGAGUAACCUGCCCUUGACUUUGGGAUAACUUCAGGAAACUGGGGCUAAUACCGGAUAGGAGCUCCUGCUGCAUGGUGGGGGUUGGAAAGUUUAGGCGGUUGGGGAUGGACUCGCGGCUUAUCAGCUUGUUGGUGGGGUAGUGGCUUACCAAGGCUUUGACGGGUAGCCGGCCUGAGAGGGUGACCGGCCUCAUUGGGACUAAGAUACGGCCCAGAGUCCUACGGGAGGCAGCAGUGGGGAGUAUUGCACAAUGAGCGGAAGCGUGAGACAGCAACGCCGCGUGCGGGAUGACGGCCUUCGGGUUGUAAACCGCUUUCGCCUGUGACGAAGCGUGAGUGACGGUAAUGGGUAAAGAAGCACCGGCUAACUACGUG
rnacentral:rRNA from 1 species